ACUAUCUGAUGUCAUAAUACACCCCUCUGAUAAUCAAGUGAUAUUUGGAAUGUCUGAGUAGUUCUAUCUGAUGUCAUAAUACACACCUCUGAUAAUCAAGUGCUAUUUGCAUGUGAUACAUUUGCUCUCUUGUUUACAGCGGGGUUGGGAAAUUCCAGUCCUCGAGGGCCUGAUUAGUGUCACAGUUUUACCCCAGCCCCAGCUAACACACCAGACUCCAAUAAUCACCAAAUCAUGCUCUUCAGUUUAGAAUGCAGUUUGAUUAAUCAGCUGUGUUUGUUAGGGAUGGAGAAAAAGUGUGGUUUACAGGAUGAUUUGUAUCUUAAAGAGCGUAGCUUUCAGGGAAGAGUACCGUCACAUCUAGAUAAAAACUAGAUAAAAACGAAUUCAGCAGAUGGCGAUGAGCGUCUUUCCGGUGAUGCUACUUGCGUGACGUAUAAUGGACUGGACGGACGCUUCUUCAGGAACAGCUUCUCUUCUCUUUCAACCACCUCGAGGAGGUCUGCUGUAUGGAGAAUGAAGCUCUGGGACUGAACAUUGUCGUGGAAGAUGAAGAUGAUGUUAUUGAGGAAACAGAGGAAGAACCUUUUAGAGAGGAAGAGGAUGCUGUCUCAAUAAAGGUGAAGGAGGAAGACGUCUUGGGAGUGAAAGAGGGGGAGACAGAAUAUCAGAUUAACACCAGCCCUGUUCACACAGGAGAGAUACAUGACUAUGGUGGAUCCUCUGGGAAGAAGCCUCAACAACAUCCUGAUGCUGACGAGUCCGAGAAGAGUCUCUGAUGUAAACUUCUGACCCACUGAAUUGUGGUAGGCAGUGAAUAGGAUUAUAGUGAAAU
rnacentral:lncRNA from 1 species